rnacentral:rRNA from 1 species
AACCUCCGCAAUGUGAGAAAUCGCGACGGGGGGAUCCCAAGUGCCAUUCUUAACGGGAUGGCUUUUCAUUAGUGUAAAGAGCUUUUGGAAUAAGAGCUGGGCAAGACCGGUGCCAGCCGCCGCGGUAACACCGGCAGCUCUAGUGGUAACAAUUUUUAUUGGGCCUAAAGCGUCCGUAGCCGGUUUAAUAAGUCUCUGGUGAAAUCCUGCAGCUUAACUGUGGGAAUUGCUGGAGAUACUAUUAGACUUGAGACCGGGAGAGGUUAGAGGUACUCCCAGGGUAGAGGUGAAAUUCUGUAAUCCUGGGAGGACCGCCUGUUGCGAAGGCGUCUAACUGGAACGGUUCUGACGGUGAGGGACGAAAGUUAGGGGCGCGAACCGGAUUAGAUACCCGGGUAGUCCUAACUGUAACGAUGCGGACUUGGUGUUGGGGUGGCUUUGAGCUGCUUCAGUGCCGAAGGGAGGCUGUAAGUCCGCCGCCUGGGAGUACGGUCGCAAGACUGAACUUAAAGGAAUU